rnacentral:rRNA from 1 species
AGAGUUUGAUCCUGGCUCAGGACGAACGCUGGCGGCACGCUUAACACAUGCAAGUCGAACGAGAGAAGAGAAGCUUGCUUUUCUGAUCUAGUGGCGGACGGGUGAGUAACACGUGAGCAAUCUGCCUUUCAGAGGGGGAUACCGAUUGGAAACGAUCGUUAAUACCGCAUAACAUAAUUGAACCGCAUGAUUUGAUUAUCAAAGAUUUAUCGCUGAAAGAUGAGCUCGCGUCUGAUUAGCUAGUUGGUAAGGUAACGGCUUACCAAGGCGACGAUCAGUAGCCGGACUGAGAGGUUGAUCGGCCACAGUUGGGACUGGAGACACGGCCCAGACUCCUACGAGAGGCA